AACGAACGCUGGCGGCAUGCCUAACACAUGCAAGUCGAACGGGAUCCUAGCUUGCUAGGUGAGAGUGGCGGACGGGUGAGUAACACGUGGGAAUCUGCCUUUUGGUUCGGGAUAACCGCGGGAAACUGCGGCUAAUACCGAAUGCCCUCGUGAGAGGAAAGAUUUAUCGCCAGAAGAGGAGCCCGCGUCCGAUUAGGUAGUUGGUGGGGUAAAGGUCUACCAAGCCGACGAUCGGUAGCUGGUCUGAGAGGAUGAUCAGCCACACUGGGACUGAGAUACGGCCCAGACUCCUACGGGAGGCAGCAGUGGGGAAUAUUGGACAAUGGGGGCAACCCUGAUCCAGCAAUGCCGCGUGAGUGAUGAAGGCCUUAGGUUGUAAAGCUCUUUUGCCAGGGAAGAUGAUGACUGUACCUGGAGAAUAAGCCCGGCUAACUUCGUGCCAGCAGCCGCGGUAAU
rnacentral:rRNA from 1 species